ACCUACGGGGCGCAGCAGUAGGGAAUCUUCCACAAUGGACGAAAGUCUGAUGGAGCAACGCCGCGUGAGUGAAGAAGGGUUUCGGCUCGUAAAGCUCUGUUGGUAGUGAAGAAAGAUAGAGGUAGUAACUGGCCUUUAUUUGACGGUAAUUACUUAGAAAGUCACGGCUAACUACGUGCCAGCAGCCGCGGUAAUACGUAGGGUGCAAGCGUUGUCCGGAUUUAUUGGGCGUAAAGCGAGUGCAGGCGGUUCAAUAACGCUGAU
rnacentral:rRNA from 1 species